CUCAGGUCGGUGUUUUAGAAAAACUCGUGAACAGUCCAAACGUUCACCUGAAGUCAAACUCAAACAGACUAACAUGAAGUCACAGCAGGUGGUCAGACUCCUCCUGUCUCUGAUUGGUUUAUAACCUCUGACCUGUUUCUCAGGUGAGAGUGUGUGUUUGUGAGAGUGUGUAUGAGUGUGUGUGUGUGUAUGUGUGUGAGUGUGUGUGUGAGUGUGUGUGUGAGCUCACCUUCCUGCCCGGCGCUGCUGUCCCUCCCUGUGUUUCAGCCAUGUUGUCUCUCCUCUCUGGAGGAAACAGAUUCAGGGCUUUGAGCUGCAGGUCCAGUUUUUCUGCUCCAACCGCCUCCUGCCGACCGAGCCCCUGCUGACGUCACAGCCUCAACCUGAGAGAAGAAGAAGAAGAAGAAGAAUGGGAGGAAGCAGGAGGAUGGGAGGUGAAAGGAAAAGGGCCGAGCUGGAGGAAGAGGAGGAGGAAACAUGGCGGCAGCAGAGAGACGGUUUUCUUCCUUUGACUGAGAAGCUUUAAAGUGAUAAAGUUCAGGACGGGACACGAGGCUCAGAACUGUGUGACUGUAGUUAUAAUAAAGCUUCCUGUAAUAAAGA